UACAUUAAAUUGUGUAUAUGUUUCAGGUCUGUGUAUCAUCACUGGCCAGGCCUGCAAGACCUCCCCCAAGGAAAGGGGCCCCACUAAUGUGAAGCAUCUGAUGGUAAUCACAGCGAGACCACUUGAGUGACUUUGUUUACGCCGUCAGAUCAAAUCCCCGCCUUUGCGCAAGGACGUGCUACAAUGCUCUUGGGGUGAGGGGUGGGGAGGCGAUUGGGUGACACUGACAUAAUCUGAAAAGGCGGCCUUCAAGGGUCAAAGGGGUUUCGCCGCAAUAAAACAGCAGAAACACUUCUCCUUGUUCUUGUUCCUGUUGUUCUCAGUCCUGUCCUUCUUGAUCGUGUUCUUGCUCCUGGGCCUGAGGGGUGGGGAGGCGAUUGGGUGACACUGACAUAAUCUGAAAAGGCGGUCUUCAAGGGUCAAAGGGGUUUCGCCGCAAUAAAACAGCAGAAACACUUCUCCUUGUUCUUGUUCCUGUUGUUCUCAGUCCUGUCCUUCUUGAUCGUGUUCUUGCUCCUGGGCCUGAGGGGUGGGGAGGCGAUUGGGUGACACUGACAUAAUCUGAAAAGGCGGUCUUCAAGGGUCAAAGGUGUUUCGCCACACCGAAACAGCAGAAACACUUCUCCUUGUUCUUGUUCAUGUUCUCAGUCCUGUUCUUCUUGGUCGUGUUCUUGCUCCUGGGCCUGUUGUUUCUCGUUUGUUUUUGUAAAUUUUGCUGCUUCUUUUCUUACUCAUCCUCAAUAUUUUCUAGCUCUCGUUCCUCUUCUUAUUCUUUUUGCUGUUUCCACUCACGUUAUUCUCUUCUUUCUCUGCUUCUUUUUAUUCAUCCUGCUCCUAUUCUGGUUCUUUUGUUCUUUCUUUUCCUCUUGUUCAUGCUCCCGUUCUUCUUCUUGAUCUUAUUUCUGUUGGCUUUUUUUGUUCCCGUUCUUUGAGUCAUUCCUGUUCUUUUAUUUUUGUUCUCUUUCAUUCUCUCUCGCUCUUGUCCCUGUUCUCGUAGAUGUGCCUUGUCCUGUUCUAAUUAUUCUAUUUCUCUUCUUUAGUUCUUGUUCCUGUUGGCCUUCCUCAUUCUUGAUACUGUUCCUGUUCGUUGGCCCUUGUUCUUGGUGUGGUGGUGUUAUGUCAAAUGUUAGUCUUGGUUCUUCGAAAGCCAUUUAUCGAAUAAACACAGUCAUUCAAGUGCAAUCAAUCUGGAGUAGAACCAGCAGCAGAACAGAGCCAGCUGGAACCAGCUGGGACUCGGGCCGCCUUCGCCGAGUUGAAUCCAGAAACCUGCAAAAUGUCAAGGGUUUUUUUUUUUUUUUUAAUGAGUAGAAGCUUUACAGCUGCUCUCGUGUGCCCAAACCCUACAGGAGACUCAGACACAGAACCGACUUCGGACCGGGCCCACGCCAAAGUGUCAUCUGGAAAACAGAUGUGGUCUUGGCCAUUUCGUGCAUAUCGAAUCUGAUACAGAGUGCCACAUUUUCAUCUUGUUACUGAAAGGAAAAGUGAUUUACACUACACUGACACACACUGAAGUCCUACUGCGCCUUGGCCCGUUUCCGAUGCUUAUGGACUUACAAUGGCCAUUGAAGUCAGCUCAACUUCACACAAGAGUCAAGACAUGGCAGGCCAACCAGACCCGACUCAGCUUGGCAAUAAAUACGACCAUUAUUCUUGACCUACUCAUUUAACACAACGUCCAAUCUAUCACGAUGACAUCUUAAGUAUUAUUAUGAUUACAUUAUAAUUAAUCAUACAUUAUUACUAUGACUACAUGAUGAGUAUGGAUACACUGCUCUUAUAGGAAUACACUACAAAAAUGUUCCUGUAGAGUGAAAAUAAAUUUGACACACCACAGUCAUUAACAACCUUGUCAUAAAAUGAGCCUUCAUAAUCAUAAAACAUCAAGUCACUUUCUUCGCUCUAAGACGUGGGGCCUUGUCACUGACUGUAUGACAACAAGGCACUCUAAAGCAGCCACAGCAGAGCAAAAUCGAUGUCCAAACAACUGCAGGCACGUAAAAAAAUAAUUACUAAUUACCUCGGCCUGCCAUCUUGUCGCCUUGACAUGCAAGCACUCACUCCCGACAACGAGGCACUCUAAAGUGACAGCCCCACCUCGAGGCCCCGUUCUACACGCUACCUGUAAACGUCGACUUCUAGUUUUGAUUCUCAAAGCGUGGGAUGCGAGCUCCCUCGAGUGGUACCGCCUAAGUACAGUUCAGUUGUAUUUAACUUUUUAGUGCAGUGUAUUUGCAUGUAGUCUUUAAGAACUGUUAGUUUAUGAACUUGUAGUUGGGAAUCAUUUUUAUUUCACUUUUAUGUGCAGUACUGGAAGCGAAUCAUUAUUUUAGUAAAGCUCGACACACCAUUUAUAAAUGACGGUUCGUUUUUUCCAAAAGUUUUUUUUUUAAUUGUUUUUUGUCUUUAUUUCCUGAUUGAUGAAUUUGGUGAACUAAAGUUUAUUCCUAAUCUAAAUCACUGUGGAUCUGACUAAUGGCUGCUAACGAAAAUGUUGGUUGGUCGCUUAGCCAAGACGUGUCCACACACGUUUCUUCCUGCUCGGCCUGCUUUGCCUUAUUUGGUCAACGUCAACGCCAACAACGGCCACAUUCCUGCUGGGGCCUUCAGAACCUUCUCGAUAGAACAUCUCCAGGAAAUUCCUCUUCUUGGGUUUCGAGAGUGCAGGAAGCCGGACGGAAUUUGGCCAAAGAUAACCCAAAAAAUAAAAACAGCCUCAACAUGCCCCGCCCACUUUGAAUGGACACCAACUUCACUGUAUUUUUCUUUUUUUUUUUUCUAAGAUUAUAUUUAUGUUACGUUAUCGUUCUGAGAAGCUACAGAGUCAACUGCGACGUGAAAGCAAAGAGCAGGGUAACAAUCUUUAUUUUUUUGGUCGGAGCCUGGGAGGACUGUGAAAAUUAUAUAAAUGUAAAAUUGCAGAAUUUGUAUACAGUAUACCGGAGCCUAUCGCAACAGACUUUGGGUGAAAGACGGACGACAACCUGAACUGGUCGCCAGCCAGUGGCAGGGCACACGAUGAGCUGAGCAAACAUCCACAGAAAAAAGAAAAAAAACGAUAAAAAAAAAAAUUAUCCCUCGCGGGACGCCAUAACGCUUUUGUUUAUUUUAUAAAACAUGACGUCGCCCCCUAAUGCAUGGGAGGCACCUCCACAACAUUAUUAUUUUUGUUUUCACAAUUCAAUUAGUUUGAAGUCAUUAUCAAUUAUUUUGAUAGUUGUGAUUAGUUUUUAUUUGGUUCAUUGUCGUUUUGUUUGUUUGUUUUUUUGGUCACUGGGGGUAUUUGUCAGGUGCCAGAAGGUGACAAUAUAUUCUUAACAACUUAUUUUUUAAAAAGAUUAUUCCAUUAGAUGAACAACCAUUCACAAAUCGACCCAAAUAGUAGCACGUCCAAAAUAAAUAGACUUCAAAUGAACCC